UUGAUGUUUCCCCCAGAGAGAAUGAAUUUGCUCUGGGGUCCACGAGGGCCAACCCCCUGCCCUCGCACACCCUCCUGCCCUUGGCUAAUGACCACUGCCUCCCCCCCAGCUCGCGCAGUGGCACUGGGAGAGUCCGUCUCAGCUCGUCGGUGCAGGGGAGGCCUCUCGACCUCCUGGAGGGCCAGAGGGGCCCUGGGGAGCAUUGUCUUUCAGGAAAGCAUCACUCCUUGGUAAGAGGCCAAGUGUGCCCCAAGCUCCAGGUACCAGGGUUGCUGUGCCAGUGUGGCCUGUGACAGGGAGUUGCCUUCUUCCCGGUGUGUAGGGCUGGCCCUGCCCAAGGCUGAGCUGGCAAAACCGAAAAAGCCUCCUGCCUCUCCUUUCCACAUCGUCUCCUGAGACUCUGCUGGGUGCAGAUUUCCAAGAUUACUUCAAAACUCCAUUAUUAUCCUUCUUUUUUCACUUCAUGAUAUAUAUUACAGAAAUAACACAUGCAUUGUAAAAAAAGAAAAGAAAAGAAAAUAGAGAAAAGCAAAAAUUCUUAAAGGAACAAUAAAAAUCCUGCUAAGAUGGUUAAAAUUUUGUUACAUUGUCUGUCAGACCUUUUUCCUAUGUAAUCAUAACACAGUUAAUAAUGAUAA